GGGGAGUACGGCCGCAAGGUUAAAACUCAAAGGAAUUGACGGGGACCCGCACAAGCGGUGGAUUAUGUGGAUUAAUUCGAUGCAACGCGAAAAACCUUACCUACCCUUGACAUGUCCUGGAGGCCCCAGAGAUGGGGCUGUGCCUGAAAGGGAACGGGAACACAGGUGCUGCAUGGCUGUCGUCAGCUCGUGUCGUGAGAUGUUGGGUUAAGUCCCGCAACGAGCGCAACCCUUGUCAUUAGUUGCUACGAAAGGGCACUCUAAUGAGACUGCCGGUGACAAACCGGAGGAAGGUGGGGAUGACGUGUGCGUAACAGAA
rnacentral:misc_RNA from 1 species